UACAGAGGGGGCAAGCGUUGUUCGGAAUUACUGGGCGUAAAGGGCGCGUAGGCGGCCUGCUAAGUCGAACGUGAAAUCCCUGGGCUCAACCCAGGAACUGCGUCCGAUACUGGUUGGCUUGAAUCCGGGAGAGGGAUGCGGAAUUCCAGGUGUAGCGGUGAAAUGCGUAGAUAUCUGGAGGAACACCGGUGGCGAAGGCGGCAUCCUGGACCGGCAUUGACGCUGAUGAGCGAAAGCUAGGGGAGCAAACGGG
rnacentral:rRNA from 1 species